UAGAAACCUCCAUUCACCUCCACUU
rnacentral:piRNA from 1 species